GUUUUAAUAAUUUAUUUAAAAUAUCGGUCUUGUAAACCGAAAAAGAGGAAACUCUUAAAACU
rnacentral:tRNA from 1 species